rnacentral:rRNA from 1 species
UUACUUAAUAAUCAAAUAUUUAUAGGACAAUGAUGGGCAUGCGGGACAUUAGCUAGAUGGUGAGGUAACGGCUCACCAUGGCGACGAUGUCUAGGGGAUCUGAGAGGAUGACCCCCCACACUGGUACUGAGACACGGACCAGACUCCUACGGGAGGCAGCAGUAAGGAAUAUUGGUCAAUGGAGGCAACUCUGAACCAGCCAUGCCGCGUGCAGGAAGACGGCCCUACGGGUUGUAAACUGCUUUUGUACUGGAAUAAACCUAGAUACGUGUAUCUAGCUGAAUGUACAGUAAGAAUAAGGAUCGGCUAACUCCGUGCCAGCAGCCGCGGUAAUACGGAGGAUCCAAGCGUUAUCCGGAUUUAUUGGGUUUAAAGGGUGCGUAGGCGGCUUAUUAAGUCAGGGGUGAAAGGCGGUAGCUUAACUAUCGGAGUGCCCUUGAUACUGAUGAGCUUGAAUGCAGCUGAGGUAGGCGGAAUGUGACAAGUAGCGGUGAAAUGCAUAGAUAUGUCACAGAACACCGAUUGCGAAGGCAGCUUACUAAAGUGCGAUUGACGCUGAGGCACGAAAGCGUGGGGAUCAAACAGGAUUAGAUACCCUGGUAGUCCACGCCCUAAACGAUGAAUACUCGAUG